rnacentral:lncRNA from 1 species
GUUUGGAAGGGGCUUGUGUCUGCUCCAUGAUGACUGAGCUGGGAAGACUUAGAGCACAGGAGAGGCCCAGUGGCUGGGGCCAGAUCCAUCCCGAGGUUCAUCACCUCCAUGCCUUGCAGCUGCUGCUGCCGCCGGCUGCACCCUCUGCCGGGGAUGUCUGCAGUGCGCCUGCGUGAGGCCCCUCCACGGGACUGAGCUUCCUCACAGCAUUGCAAGUUCCAAGAAGGAAUGUCCCGGGAAAGGGAGCCAGAUGCAAGCUGUACCGCCUUCUAUAGACGUGGAAGUCACACAGCAUCACUUCUACUCUUCCUGAGAUUCAAGUUCACCUCUCUGCAGGAGGAGAGUUAAAGUGUCCUUGUAAGAAGAGCCCGUGGAUGGGAGAUGUUGUUGCGGUCACCGUUGGACAUUUUUUCUGCCACGAUUCUUGUUCGAAUGGAAGGUCCUUUCACCCGACUCCCAAAAAUCUGUCCUCAGAUGGUGGCUUGUAACAGGUGAAGAAAUGGCUCUUUGUCCUGGGAUGAAAAGCUUCUCAAGGGAAUUAUUCUCCAUUCCAAGCUGUUGGCUGAAACGAGGCUGGUUUUGGAAGGGGUGUCUUUGGAAAAUCUCUCAAACUUGACUCAAAAACCUCCCUGUAAUACUGAUCAUGGAACCUGGUGGACGCAUCCGUUCAAGAGCUACCAUGCUACCCAUUCUUCUCAAACUGAUGUUUUAGAAGCACUUCAAAUCCUUAA